UUUUCCUACGGGGGGCAGCAGUGGGGAAUAUUGCACAAUGGGGGAAACCCUGAUGCAGCGACGCCGCGUGAGCGAUGAAGUAUUUCGGUAUGUAAAGCUCUAUCAGCAGGGAAGAAAAUGACGGUACCUGACUAAGAAGCCCCGGCUAACUACGUGCCAGCAGCCGCGGUAAUACGUAGGGGGCAAGCGUUAUCCGGAUUUACUGGGUGUAAAGGGAGCGUAGGCGGUGCAGCAAGUCAGAAGUGAAAGCCCGGGGCUCAACUCCGGGACUGCUUUUGAAACUGUUGAACUAGAU
rnacentral:rRNA from 1 species